rnacentral:rRNA from 1 species
AUGUAUGGAGAACCAAAGUGGGAGGAUAAGUAUAAAACCUGGCAGAGAAUCAGAGACUUACAUGCACAAAGUUCUCGUGCAUGGACGAUUGUUGGGGACCUUAAUGAGAUCAUGUACAACUUUGAAAAAGAUGGUGGAAAUUCCAGGCCUCCGAACUACAUGCAGGCUUUUCGAGAUGUAAUUGAUGAUUGUAACCUUACGGACCUGGGAUUCGUGGGAGAUAAGUUCACAUGGAAAAGGGGAAAAACUCGAGCAAGACUAGACAGUGCACUAGCAAAUGACGGGUGGAACGAGAAAUUUGGUGGAGCAGUGGUCGAACACCUGGGCUAUUAUCGGUAUGAUCAUAGGCCCCUUUUUGCGAGUCUGGACCCUACAGCGGAUGAGCCUGUUGGGCCAAAAGUCUUGCGUUUCGAAUCAUGUUGGUUAAGAGAGACCAAGUUCCAGGAAACAGUAGCAGAAGCUUGGGCUGCUACAAAUAUUGUUGCACAUGAUGAUAGUCUCUCCUCGAGACUUGCGUUUGUACAUAAUCAUCUCCACAAUUGGGACAGAACGGUGCUAAAGAGUGCAAGAAGGAAACUAAGGGGAGUACAGAAGGAACUGGAGCAUGUUACAAGAGAUACCAUGACAGAUGAAAACCUAUCAAGGCAGCAUGACCUCUUAGCAGAAGUGGAGAAGUUAUUAGAACAGGAAGAGAUGUACUGGGCGUUGAGGAGUUGUAUUGGGUGGUUGAAAGUAGGGGAUAGAAACACAGAUUACUUCCGUAGCUGUGCAUCAGUCAGAAGAGCUAAAAACAGAAUAAAGAAACUACGGGAUGAGUCUGGUGUUUAA